AAGAAUAAAUCCACUCCAAAGUUUACCAUUAUAUCAAGUUUCUCUUAUCUUUUCUCUGUUGAGUGAGUAAUUUUUAAGACAUGAUGAAUGAACCACCAAAAUAUGGUUAUCCAUACCCUUCUCAAGGUCAAGGGUAUUAUCAGGGUCCUCCUCCUCCUGUGAUGGCACCACCAACAUAUGCUGCUGCUCCUCCUCCUCAGAAAAACAGAGGAUUUCUUGAAGGAUGUCUAGCAGCUCUGUGUUGUUGUUGCCUGUUAGAUGAGUGUUGCUGUGAUCCCUCUAUUUUCUGUGUGUUGUAAUUAAUUAAGGCUUGCUUUAAUUUAUGGAAUUAAGUUCACUUCUUCUUUAUGCUUUAAUUUGUAGUACCAAAUAAGAAUUGGUAUGUAAACAAGUUCUUUACGAACAUCACUAUAUAUUAUCUUCUUUAAUUUGAA